rnacentral:lncRNA from 1 species
GUAAAGGAAAUACGUGAACAUUUGUUGAUUAUUAAUAUGGUUUGGCUGUGUCCCCACCAAAUCUCAACUUAAAUUGUAUCUCCCAGAAUUCCCACAUGUCACAGGAGGGACCCAGGUGGAGGUAAUUGAAUCGUGGUCGGGCGGGGGGGAAGGGGGUGGUCUUGCCGUGCUGUUCUCGUGAUAGUGAGUACCUCUCACGAGAUCUGAUGAGUUUAUCAGGAGUUUCCGCUUUUGCUUCUUCCUCAUCGUCUCUUGCCGCUGCCAUGAAAGGAGUGCUUUUUGCCUCCCACCAUGAUUCUGAGGCCUCCCCAGCCAUGUAGAAUUAGCCAGCCUGUUUUUGAUGAAGAGCAACUGUACUGGAGAGAAAGCCUGUAUUCAUAUUCAUCGUCAUCAGGCAAAUCGAGGAGCUGACUUGCUUAGGAUCAUCUGCUGGUUGAAUCCAUGGAUGCAGAACCCCAGAUUCGGAGGGCUGAAUGUACUUUCGAUAGGUUCCUGAGCAGCAGUGAUUAUAGUCACAGCAGACUGGACAGUUUGGUGAGCAAGUUCAGGGGCUGGCUUAGUGAUUCAUAGUUCUUUCUUCCUCCUCCCCCAGCAGUUUUGUUUCAGCAGUGAUUUGGUCAAAUGUGAACCACAAACCAGCAGCAAAAGCAUUUUCUAGGAACUUGUUAAAACUGGAAGGCCCAAGGUUGCACUCAGGCUUACUGAGUCAGUCACUCCAAGUGGACCCCAUCCCUAAACCUUGAGACUCACUGCUCCUCUUUUGAUCUGGGAGAGAAACAGAAAAAAGAAGGAAAAAAAAUCCCCAAUGUGAGUAUGCUGGAAAGUAAAUUUGAAUAGCUUUUUAUAUUGGGUACUUACUGUGGGUAAUUUACAAACUAUUGGAAGGAACCACAAAUUCAAACACAGCCAAAUUUAAGGUCUCUUUAGCAGAAAUCAAUCUUACAUCAUGGCAGUUCUCCCAUUCUCCAGUCUUUCACUUGAUAGAUCACUUCCUCAUUAGGAUGACCUACAGCAAUUCUACAUGAACUGCUCUUUACAUUUAAACAGUGCUUUCUGUCCUAACAUGUCAAAAUGCUUGACAAGCAAUCAAAAGGUAGCUCACUAAUUUUUUCAACUCAUGGCAGUAAAUAGCCUGCAUCUACCAUCACUGCUGUUUACUGGUGAUUUCUUGGCAGGGAAACUUUAAAUGCCUUAGCAAUGUCUAGAAAGUCAAUGACUAAAGAAAAUAUUCAUUUUGGCUUCCAUAGGGCUGUAUUUGAUGAACUGCUCACUAACUUCUAUUAUUACGUCUCAAGAAUAGAUAAUGAUACUCAGCAAGGGCAAAUCCCAAAGAAUAGUCUAUGCUUUCCUUGAUUGAAUCUGAUUUUUGAGAAAUUACAUGGCCCAAUCUACAUUUAAUAUGAUACAAAUGCUACUUAACUCCCUGUUAUUUCUGGUUGCAUAUAAUUGAUACUACUUGAAGAGUAAGAAGCAGAGUCUCACUACACUGGGGACCCUUUGAGAGCCAAGUCUGUGUCUUAGUCAUCUUUGAUGCCUUAGUGACCAGUACCAUACCUGGAAUAGUAUAUGUGAUCAGUAACUCAAAUGUAUGUAUUUCUUGAAUGUAUGGUGCAUGAAUGAGUCAAGAUACCUUUAGCGUUGGAAGCAAUCUGUCAUGGAGUAGGAGGAGAAAAAGUAGUGAAAAAACUUCUAAAUUCUCAAAACCUAGUGCUGAACUGAAUGCUGAUAAUAACUUGACAACGUCCUUUGGCAUUGCAGAUGUUGAGAUACCAACAUCUAAUCCGCCAAGAAAGAAUUUCAGAAUUAAAAUUUGGGUGUGUUCUUGCGCUGGGGAUUUCUCUGACCUACCUUCUGAUAGAACUUUGAACCCGAGUCAAUAGUCAAUAUACUAGUUUUUUACUUAAAACUGUAACAUUUUAAUCUAAUUUUGGAGACGUGAAAUAAAACUGAUGGGAAACUCUUGAAAUUUUUAUCACUGGAAUAACCUAAUUUUGAAAACACUGAUGGUUAGUUUCUUGAAAUAUUAAUAUUACUACAAGUCAUAAGUAAAAGCAUUCUAUCUUAAGUGAGAAACUAUAAAGUUGGAUAAUUACUAUUUGAGUUUGUGGCUUGGUUUGAAUAAACACUUGCUUGUUUUAAGUAAAAGUUCAGCUGAAGUGACAAUCAACCUUUAAUCUUGUAAAGCUUCUGUGUUAGAUAUUUUCUAUCUCUAACAUGCCAAACAUGCAUAUUAAACUGAGUUUUUUUGCAUGCAAUUUCUGUACCCUUUUCUUGUGUCUUUUUGUUUGUUUGUUUUGCUUUGUAUUGUUUGUUUGUUGGUUUAGAUACAGGGUCUUGCCCUGCAGCCCAGGCUGGACCUCCUAGGCUCCAGUGACACCCCUACCUCAGCCUCCAGAGUAGUUAGGGCUAUGGCAUGCAUCACAACACCUGGCAAAUUUUUUUAAAGUGCUUUUUGUAGAGAUGGGGUCUUGCUAUGUUGCCCUGGCUGGUCUCGAACUACUGGCUUCAAGCACUCCUCCAUCUCAGUCUUCUAAAGUGCUGGGAUUAUAGAUGUGAGCCACUGUGCCCAGCCCUCUUUUCCUGUUUGAAUUUUAAGUACACUUUCAUAACAAUCUUAUUUGAAAAUUAGAAUGUAGAUUGUAUACCAUUCUGUUUAACAUUCUAUUGCCAGCACCUAGUAC